GACGUCCCUAGUUCGGAUUGUAGGCUGAAACUCGCCUCAUGAAGCUGGAAUUGCUAGUAAUCACAGGUCAGCAUACUGUGGUGAAUACGUUCCCGGGCCUUGUACACACCGCCCGUCACACCAUGAGAGUUGAGAAUACCCGAAGCCCAUGUCAAAGUGGUCGAAGGUAGGCUUGAUNAUUGGGGUGAAGUCGUAACAAGGUACC
rnacentral:rRNA from 1 species